UAGAUAGAGGUUGCGAUUUCUAAUAGUAUGUUUGUGGAGUUAAGCACAGUGAAGCAAACAAAAAGGAGAAUUCGCCGAAACGGAUAGUUAAUGCUUUAAGACUAUUACGUUGGGGUUAUAUAGAAUAUGUAUAACACUGUCACAAAUUCUAUUUGUGGGGAGCUAUCA
rnacentral:ncRNA from 1 species